rnacentral:rRNA from 1 species
CCCGAAUUAAGAAGAGCUAAAUAUUAACUUUUGUUAGAAUCAUAAGGUUAUGUUGCAAUAUAACCCUUAGAUUAUUAUUUAGGAGUGAAAUUCUAUCAAUUCUUAAGAUAUCUGGAAGCCUAAAAAAGGUGUGUAGCACUGCUAAAGUCAUUCAUAAAGUGGUUAGAUUUUAUGAAUAAAAGAAUAUAAAAUAUCGACAAUCUAUUUUAGGGUUAAUCCCCUCAUUUCUUUAUUUUAAUAUAAAUUUACUUUUUUAUUUAUCUUUAUAGUAUUAGGCUUUUUCCUUAAAUAAAACUGGAAAUUAAAAAUGUUUAAAUUAGUAAUAAAUUAUUACAAAAUUAAUAAAUUAACUAAGAUAUAGAUACUUAAUUUAAACAUUGGUAAGGAACUCGGCAAAUAGCGGCCUGGACUGUUUAACAAAAACAUAGCUAUAAGAAAUUAUUUUUAGUUAUACCUGCCCAAUGUAGAAUUAUUAAUGGCCGCGGUACCCUGACCGUGCUAAGGUAGCGUAAUAAGUUGGCUUUUAAAUGGAGUCAGGUAUGAAUGGAUAAACUGGGCUAAGCUGUCUCAUCUGUGUUUAAUUGAAUUUACUGUGCAAGUGAAAAAGCUUGUUUUUAAUAAGGGGACGAGAAGACCCUUAAAAUUUUAUUUAAAGUAAUAGUAUUGUUACUACGAUUUUGUUGGGGCGACAUAGAAAUAAUUAAAACUUUCUAUACAUUUCAAGCCGGAUUUUUCAAGAAAGAAUAAAUUACUUAAGGGAUAACAGCAUAAUUCUAAAAUUGAGUUUGUGACCUCGAUGUUGGACUAGGAAGCUAGUAGGUUAGACGCUUACUGUGGGGAUUCUGUUCGAAUUUUAACUCCUACAUGAUCUGAGUUCAGACCGGCGUGAGCCAGGUCAGAUUCUAUCUCUUUAUCUUACAAUUUUAGUACGAAAGGACCAAAUUGU